rnacentral:rRNA from 1 species
CGAGAGCAUGAAGGCGGAAUCGCUAGUAAUCGCGGAUCAGCAUGCCGCGGUGAAUACGUUCCCAGGCCUUGUACACACCGCCCGUCACACCAUGGGAUUUGGAUUCACCCGAAGGCACUGCGCUAACUCGCAAGAGAGGCAGGUGACCACGGUGGGUUUAGAGACUGGGGUGAAGUCGUAACAAGGUAGCCGUAGGGGAACCUGCGGCUGGAUCACCUCCUUUCUAAGGA